rnacentral:rRNA from 1 species
AUACGUAGGUGACAAGCGUUAUCCGGAUUUACUGGGCGUAAAGGGCGUGUAGGCGGUCUUGAAAGUCAGAAGUGAAAUUCCUGAGCUCAACUCGGGCGCUGCUUCUGAAACUGCAGGACUUGAGUGCUGGAGGGGAUAGCGGAAUUCCUAGUGGAGCGGUAAAAUGCGCAGAUAUUAGGAAGAACACCGGUGGCGAAAGCGGCUAUCUGGACAGUAACUGACGCUGAGGCGCGAAAGCGUGGGGAGCAAACAGGAUUAGAUACCCUGGUAGUCCACGCCGCAAACGAUGAAUACUAGGUGUAGGGGGUAUCGACUCCCUCUGUGCCGCAGUUAACACAAUAAGUAUUCCGCCUGGGGAGUACGGCCGCAAGGUUGAAACUUAAAGGAAUUGGCGGGG